rnacentral:rRNA from 1 species
GCAGUCGAGCGACAGAUAAGGAGCUUGCUCCUUUGACGUUAGCGGCGGACGGGUGAGUAACACGUGGGUAACCUACCUAUAAGACUGGGAUAACUUCGGGAAACCGGAGCUAAUACCGGAUAACAUUUGGAACCGCAUGGUUCUAAAGUGAAAGAUGGUUUUGCUAUCACUUAUAGAUGGACCCGCGCCGUAUUAGCUAGUUGGUAAGGUAACGGCUUACCAAGGCGACGAUACGUAGCCGACCUGAGAGGGUGAUCGGCCACAUUG